rnacentral:rRNA from 1 species
CUGCUGCCUUCCGUAGGAGUUUGGACCGUGUCUCAGUUCCAAUGUGGGGGACCUUCCUCUCAGAACCCCUACGCAUCGUCGGCUUGGUGGGCCGUUGCCCCACCAACUACCUAAUGCGCCGCAUGCCCAUCCGUGACCGGGGUCGCCCCCUUUGGCCGGCAGGGAUGUCCCCUCCCGGCAUUAUGUUGUAUUAGGCGGGAUUUCUCCCGGUUAUCCAUCUGUCACGGCCAGGUUGCAUACGUGUUACUCACCCGUGCGCCGGUCGCCGGCGG